rnacentral:tRNA from 1 species
GCUGGAUUGGCUCAAUGGUAGAGCAUCUGUCUUCGGAACAGAAGGUUGCGGGUUCGAGUCCCGUAUCCAGUA